rnacentral:rRNA from 1 species
UCUACCAUGCAGUCGACGGAAGGCCCUUCGGGGUACUCGAGUGGCGAACGGGUGAGUAACACGUGGGUGAUCUGCCCUGCACUUUGGGAUAAGCCUGGGAAACUGGGUCUAAUACCGAAUAUGAUCAUCGGCUUCAUGGUCGGUGGUGGAAAGCUUUUGCGGUGUGGGAUGGGCCCGCGGCCUAUCAGCUUGUUGGUGGGGUAAUGGCCUACCAAGGCGACGACGGGUAGCCGGCCUGAGAGGGUGACCGGCCACACUGGGACUGAGAUACGGCCCAGACUCCUACGGGAGGCAGCAGUGGGGAAUAUUGCACAAUGGGCGCAAGCCUGAUGCAGCGACGCCGCGUGAGGGAUGACGGCCUUCGGGUUGUAAACCUCUUUCAGCACAGACGAAGCGCAAGUGACGGUAUGUGCAGAAGAAGGACCGGCCAACUACGUGCCAGCAGCCGCGGUAAUACGUAGGGUCCGAGCGUUGUCCGGAAUUACUGGGCGUAAAGAGCUCGUAGGUGGUUUGUCGCGUUGUUCGUGAAAACUCACAGCUUAACUGUGGGCGUGCGGGCGAUACGGGCAGACUAGAGUACUGCAGGGGAGACUGGAAUUCCUGGUGUAGCGGUGGAAUGCGCAGAUAUCAGGAGGAACACCGGUGGCGAAGGCGGGUCUCUGGGCAGUAACUGACGCUGAGGAGCGAAAGCGUGGGGAGCGAACAGGAUUAGAUACCCUGGUAGUCCACGCCGUAAACGGUGGGUACUAGGUGUGGGUUUCCUUCCUUGGGAUCCGUGCCGUAGCUAACGCAUUAAGU